rnacentral:tRNA from 1 species
GUGGCUGUAGUUUAGUGGUGAGAGUUCCACGUUGUGGCCGUGGAGAACUGGGCUCGAAUCCUAGCAGCCACA